rnacentral:rRNA from 2 species
CUAAUACAUGCAGUCGAGCGGACAGAAGGGAGCUUGCUCCCGGAUGUUAGCGGCGGACGGGUGAGUAACACGUGGGUAACCUGCCUGUAAGACUGGGAUAACUCCGGGAAACCGGAGCUAAUACCGGAUAGUUCCUUGAACCGCAGGGUUCAAGGAUGAAAGACGGUUUCGGCUGUCACUUACAGAUGGACCCGCGGCGCAUUAGCUAGUUGGUGGGGUAAUGGCUCACCAAGGCGACGAUGCGUAGCCAACCUGAGAGGGUGAUUCGGCCACACUUGGGACUGAGAACACGGCCCCAGACUCCUACCGGGAGGCAGCAGUAGGGAAUCUUUCCGCAAUGGACGAAAGUCUGACGGAGCAACGCCCGCGUGAGUGAUGAAGGUUUUCGGAAUCGUAAAGCUCUGUUGUUAGGGAAGAACAAGUGCGAGAGUAACUGCUCGCACCUUGGACGGUACCUUAACCAGAAAGGCCACGGCUAACUACGUGCCAGCAGCCGCGGUAAUACGUAGGUGGCAAGCGUUGUCCGGAAUUAUUGGGCGUAAAGGGCUCGCAGGCGGUUUCUUAAGUCUGAUGUGAAAGCCCCCGGCUCAACCGGGGAGGGUCAUUGGAAACUGGGAAACUUGAGUGCAGAAGAGGAGAGUGGAAUUCCACGUGUAGCGGUGAAAUGCGUAGAGAUGUGGAGGAACACCAGUGGCGAAGGCGACUCUCUGGUCUGUAACUGACGCUGAGGAGCGAAAGCGUGGGGAGCGAACAGGAUUAGAUACCCUGGUAGUCCACGCCGUAAACGAUGAGUGCUAAGUGUUAGGGGGUUUCCGCCCCUUAGUGCUGCAGCUAACGCAUUAAGCACUCCGCCUGGGGGAGUACGGUCGCAAGACUGAAACUCAAAGGAAUUGACGGGGGCCCGCACAAGCGGUGGAGCAUGUGGUUUAAUUCGAAGCAACGCGAAGAACCUUACCAGGUCUUGACAUCCUCUGACAACCCUAGAGAUAGGGCUUUCCCUUCGGGGACAGAGUGACAGGUGGUGCAUGGUUGUCGUCAGCUCGUGUCGUGAGAUGUUUGGGUUAAGUCCCGCAACGAGCGCAACCCUUGAUCUUAAUUGCCAGCAUUUAGUUGGGCACUCUAAGGUGACUGCCGGUGACAAACCGGAGGAAGAGUGGGGAUGACGUCAAAUCAUCAUGCCCCUCUAUGACCUGGGCUACACACGUGCUACAAUGGACAGAACAAAGGGCUGCGAGACCGCAAGGUUUAGCCAAUCCCAUAAAUCUGUUCUCAGUUCGGAUACGCAGUCUGCAACUCGACUCGCGUGAAGCUGGAAAUCCGCUAGUAAUCGCGGAUAACAGCAUGCCGCGGUGAAUACGUUCCCGGGCCUUGUACACACCGCCCGUCACACACAAAAUUUGAACCCCCAAACCCGAGAGGAACUUUUGCAACACCCGAAGUCGAAUGGCCUUGGCGUAGAGGUAACGGCUUAAUACAGGCGAAAAAGAAAAUUGGAAAUGGCCAUAGCCAAGCCGAAGGGUAAAAGGUUAAAGACAGAAGGUAAUGAU